rnacentral:rRNA from 1 species
UACGUAGGGUGCGAGCGUUAAUCGGAAUUACUGGGCGUAAAGCGUGCGCAGGCGGUUUUGUAAGCCAGAUGUGAAAUCCCCGGGCUUAACCUGGGAAUGGCAUUUGGGACUGCAAGGCUCGAGUGCGGCAGAGGAGACUGGAAUUCCCAGUGUAGCGGUGAAAUGCGUAGAUAUUGGGAGGAACACCAGUGGCGAAGGCGGCUCACUGGACCGGUACUGACGCUGAAGCGCGAAAGCGUGGGGAGCAAACGGG